CAGCUGAAAAAGUUCAUGCAAAUACACUUGCUCAGACAGUUGAUGCAUGUGUCAACAGAGCUACCUCUUCUAACCCUCGGCUAUCUGCAUGCAACCAUCAGUGUGACAAUGUUAUUUGGCUUCAAAUGUGCUCCGUCUCUCCUGCUUUCCAUAUACAUCAAAUCAUCUUCGACAUUCGCACAUUUCAUCGCUUGACUAUGCCACCAUACGUGAUUAUGUAGAGAAUGAGGUUCCUAUACCUGACGCUGUAUGAAGAUU